rnacentral:misc_RNA from 1 species
UGGAGAAAUCUAGCAAGCAUGGCGCUUGACUAGUACUAAAUUUUUUAAAACUUGCUCAAAGGUUACUUAAUGAGUAUUGAUUCUGUUCAAUUUUGAAAGACUAUGUCUUUCAAUGUUCUUUGAAAAUUGCACAUAGAUUAAUGUAUAUAAAAUACAACAAGCCAAGAAUAAAUAUUCUUUGUGAUGAUUAUAUAAAAGUUUUAAUAACGAAACUUAAAUA